GUCGGGAUAGCUCAGUUGGUAGAGCAGAGGACUGAAAAU
rnacentral:tRNA from 11 species